rnacentral:rRNA from 1 species
CCCUUGUCUUAGUUGCUACUUUAGUUGGGCACUCUAUGAGACUGCCGGUGACAAACCGGAGGAAGGUGGGGAUGACGUCCAGUCCUCAUGGCCCUUAUAGGUGGGGCUACACACGUCAUACAAUGGCUGGUACAAAGGGUUGCCAACCCGCGAGGGGGAGCCAAUCCCACAAAGCCAGUCGUAGUCCGGAUCGCAGUCUGCAACUCGACUGCGUGAAGUCGGAAUCGCUAGUAAUCGUGGAUCAGAAUGUCACGGUGAAUACGUUCCCGGGUCUUGUACACACCGCCCGU